AAAUAGGUUUACUUGGAACUAUGAAAAUUUUGAUGGCAUGAGUGGAGUCGGAAAAAAAAGUAAAUUAAGGUAGUCACUGAUGGUCAAGAAAGCCCAUCAUCCGAUUCCUACUUGCGAAUCGUUGAUAAUACCGACUUGGAAGAAGAGUGCACUGAAGAGGGAAGGGUGUGAUCAACUAGGUCAAGAUGAUGGAGUCCCACCCCAUUGAGUUGAAGAUGGGACAUUUUGGUGGAGCACAGACACUCUAUUUGUUAUAGCUUUUGAGCUAAAUUGUCUGGAUAGUACUUUCUUUUGUGAUCAAGACCUUGUCUUGAAAGAUGUAAUCUCUCUCUCUAGCUCUUUGAACUACAAAUGUUAUUAGUUGGUAUUUGGUAACAAUGUGGUUGUAAUAUGGAUAUGUCAUUCUUUUGGGGAAGAUCAAGGAGAAAGAGAGUGUUUAACAACCACCUUGAUGUAUUUUAACUAUGUCAUUAUUUUUCACAAAUUUUAUUAUGAAAUGGAUGUAAGCUACGAAGAAUUUAAUAAUAUUAUUAUUAUGAU